rnacentral:lncRNA from 1 species
GUAGCCUUUGCAGUCGGCCACUCGUAGCCAUAUCUUUAGUAGUGGGAAGACACAUGAUAUAGCCAAAAUGCUUUCAGUUUCUUCUCUCACACAAACAUUUAAUGCCAGCAGUUCAACUGAAACAUCUAUAUGCAAAUAUAAAAUUAGAUGUCGACUGCAGUUUUAUGCUGAAACACAAUGGCUUUAGUGCGCCUCAGAUUUCACCAUCCCANNN